rnacentral:misc_RNA from 1 species
UGCUGGGAAGAGCAGAAAAAGAAAAAAUGAAGUUGAUCAGUUAACAGACAAUAAAUUAAAUUGCAAUGGCUUUAUUAAAAGCCCAUGUGAAGGAUUGAGGCCGAGGGCUGGGAAAGAUGCAACAUGUAGUAAUGAGAUGAAUAUUAGAAAAUCAACUCAGGAUAAUCCACCAAGAAAGAAGGCCAGAAAACCUUCUGAUAUUUCAGUUCCUUGCACAAAAAAGAAAGAAAUCAUGAAGAGAUCUCACAAGUGUGACCUGGAAGGCUGCACCAUGAGUUUUAAGACAAAGGCAGAGCUACAGUUGCACAAACGCAACCAGUGCCCAUAUGAAGGGUGUAGGAAGAAAUUUAGCACCCACAAAUAUGCAAUAAUUCAUCAACGUGUUCACGAAGGUGAUAGACCCCUCAAGUGCCCAUGGAAGGGUUGCUCCAUGUCAUU